rnacentral:antisense_RNA from 1 species
GAAGAGGAAAAGGAUGCAGGUAACAGCAGCUCAGCCACACUUGGCCUCUAGUCAGAGGAAAGAAGCGGCCCAGUGAUCCGAGGGCAGCAGACCAUCUCCGGGUGGAAGGCACACCUUGGACACCCCACGGAGCCCACCCCUGGUGCCAGGAGGAGCCCCACGGAACCCCUCACCGUCCCAGCAGCCCUGGAAGGGCACAGUUAAUCACAGUGGUGGGGGAGCCACAGUGCCGAAAGAGUGGAGAGCCAGAACCGAAGGGCCGCAGCGCCAGCAGGGGCCUCCUGCGGGGUGCUCCCUCGGGGCUGGCGGGCAGCGUGGACUUCCAGGCCUGUCCCCAAUCCUGAGACUCGGGGAGUGGGGUGGGACCCUGCCUCCUCCACAUGCUCCCCGAGUGAUCCCCAAGGAAACCAGGGUGGGGAACCCCUGAUUCCUUAAACACCUUCAGUUUGCACGUGGGUAAACUGAGGCCCAAAGAGGCCCAGCCCUUUGGCUGAGGCCUCUGGGUGGAGCUGCCUCACUCUUGGCCUGUGCUCCUUCCUGACCCACCU